rnacentral:misc_RNA from 1 species
GAUGAAGAACGUAGCAAAAUGCGAUAAGUAAUGUGAAUUGCAGAAUUCAGUGAAUCAUCGAAUCUUUGAACGCACAUUGCGCCCCAUGGUAUUCCGAGGGGCAUGCCUGUUCGAGCGUCAUUAUAACCCCUCAAGCUCAGCUUGGUGUUGGGGCCUGCUGCACUGGCAGCCCUUAAAAUCAGUGGCGGCGCCAUCUGGCUCUAAGCGUAGUAAUUCUUCUCGCUAUGGAGUCCUGGUGGAUGCUUGCCAUCAACCCCCAAUUUUUCUAUGGUUGACCUCGGAUCAGGUAGGGAUACCCGCUGAACUUAAGCAUAUCAAUAAGCGGAGGA